rnacentral:rRNA from 1 species
UACGUAGGCAGCAAACGUUGUUCGGAAUUACUGGGCGUAAAGAGUGUGUAGGCGGUCCUGUAAGUUUGGUGUGAAAUCUCCCGGCUUAACUGGGAGGGUGCGCCGAAAACUGCAAGGCUUGAGUACUGGAGAGGAUAGCGGAAUUCCUGGUGUAGCGGUGAAAUGCGUAGAUAUCAGGAGGAACGCCGGCGGUGUAGACGGCUGUCUGGACAGUAACUGACGCUGAGACACGAAAGCGUGGGGAGCAAACAGG